AUUGAACGCUGGCGGAAUGCUUUACACAUGCAAGUCGAACGGCAGCACGGACUUCGGUCUGGUGGCGAGUGGCGAACGGGUGAGUAAUGUAUCGGAACGUGCCCAGUCGUGGGGGAUAACGCAGUGAAAAUUACGCUAAUACCGCAUACGAUCUAUGGAUGAAAGCGGGGGAUCGCAAGACCUCGCGCGAUUGGAGCGGCCGAUAUCAGAUUAGGUAGUUGGUGGGGUAAAGGCCCACCAAGCCAACGAUCUGUAGCUGGUCUGAGAGGACGACCAGCCACACUGGAACUGAGACACGGUCCAGACUCCUACGGGAGGCAGCAGUGGGGAAUUUUGGACAAUGGGCGAAAGCCUGAUCCAGCCAUUCCGCGUGCAGGAUGGAGGCCCUCGGGUUGUAAACUGCUUUUGUACAGAACGAAAAGGUUUCUACUAAUACUAGGAGCUCAUGACGGUACUGUAAGAAUAAGCACCGGCUAACUACGUGCCAGCCGCCGCAGUAA
rnacentral:rRNA from 1 species